rnacentral:rRNA from 1 species
AGUGAACGCUGGCGGUAGGCCUAACACAUGCAAGUCGAACGGCAGCACAGUAAGAGCUUGCUCUUACGGGUGGCGAGUGGCGGACGGGUGAGGAAUACAUCGGAAUCUACUUUUUCGUGGGGGAUAAUGUAGGGAAACUUACGCUAAUACCGCAUACGACCUACGGGUGAAAGCAGGGGAUCUUCGGACCUUGCGCGAUUGAAUGAGCCGAUGUCGGAUUAGCUAGUUGGCGGGGUAAAGGCCCACCAAGGCGACGAUCCGUAGCUGGUCUGAGAGGAUGAUCAGCCACACUGGAACUGAGACACGGUCCAGACUCCUACGGGAGGCAGCAGUGGGGAAUAUUGGACAACGGGCGCAAGCCUGAUCCAGCCAUACCGCGUGGGUGAAGAAGGCCUUCGGGUUGUAAAGCCCUUUUGUUGGGAAAGAAAAGCAGCAGGUUAAUACCCCGCUGUUCUGACGGUACCCAAAGAAUAAGCACCGGCUAACUUCGU